GUGAGGUAACGGCUCACCAAGGCAAUGACGGGUAGCGGGUCUGAGAGGAUGGUCCGCCACACUGGGACUGAGACACUGCCCAGACUCCUACGGGAGGCUGCAGUCGAGGAUCUUCCACAAUGGACGAAAGUCUGAUGGAGCGACGCUGCGUGCAGGAUGAAGGCCUUAGGGUUGUAAACUGCUGUCACGCUAUAGGAACCGUUAGUCGUUAAUAGCGGCUAGCCUGACCAAAGCGAGAGGAAGUGCCGGCUAACUCCGUGCCAGCAGCCGCGGUAAGACGGAGGGCGCAAGCGUUGUUCGGAAUCACUGGGCAUAAAGAGCACGUAGGCGGCUUAUUAAGUCAGGUGUGAAAGCCCUGGGCUCAACCCGGGAACUGCACUUGAUACUGAUGAGCUUGAGGAGAGCAGGGGUGAGUGGAACUCCAGGUGGAACGGUGAAAUGUGUAGAUAUCUGGAGGAACACCGGUGGCGAAAGCGGCUCACUGGGCUCUCUCUGACGCUAAGGUGCGAAAGCUAGGGUAGCGAACGGGAUUAGAUACCCCGGUAGUCCUAGCCGUAAACGAUGGGCACUAGGCAUUGGAUUAUCCUAUGAGAUUCAAUGCCGUAGCUAAUGUGUUAAGUG
rnacentral:rRNA from 1 species